AAUUGUUAAUCCCUGGCAAUGCUGCUAAGUAGAGUGUUCUUGAGGAGUCUCUUUUAAAAUCAUGGAAUCUGAACUACUGCUUUAAACUAAUCUUGGUUCAUUUCUCGACAGAUGUUGCACCUUCCCCCCAGGUCUUAGGUUGUUGUUAAGGAGGCAGUGUUUCUUACAGGCAGGGAUAAGACUGGAUACUGUUCCCACCUCAUCCAGCUCUAAGACCAAGUGGGAAAAAAGUCUGUUUUGAGGUUGUGAAGAGGCUAGUUGGGUGACGGUCAGCUGUGACUCUCAACAAUAUCCUUUGCUACACAGAUUCAGCAUAUGCCUUAGCAUAGGACCCAAGUUUCAUCAAUUAGAAUGGUGGUCUAGACUAUUUGCUAUGGGUAGGGUGGGGGGUAUCCCCUUUCCUGUACAACAUUUUGGACAAUGAUUAAUCUGGCCUAAAGUAUUCAAAUUAUAUUUUGAAUCAAUAACAGAAAAAUAACAGCAUUGGUUA